AGUGAACGCUGGCGGUAGGCCUAACACAUGCAAGUCGAACGGCAGCACAGUAAGAGCUUGCUCUUACGGGUGGCGAGUGGCGGACGGGUGAGGAAUACAUCGGAAUCUACUUUUUCGUGGGGGAUAACGUAGGGAAACUUACGCUAAUACCGCAUACGACCUACGGGUGAAAGCAGGGGAUCUUCGGACCUUGCGCGAUUGAAUGAGCCGAUGUCGGAUUAGCUAGUUGGCGGGGGAAAGGCCCACCAAGGCGACGAUCCGUAGCUGGUCUGAGAGGAUGAUCAGCCACACUGGAACUGAGACACGGUCCAGACGCCUACGGGAGGCAGCAGUGGGGAAUAUUGGACAAUGGGCGCAAGCCUGAUCCAGCCAUACCGAGUGGGUGAAGAAGGCCUUCGGGUUGUAAAGCCCUUUUGUUGGGAAAGAAAAGCAGCAGGUUAAUACCCCGCUGUUCUGACGGUACCCAAAGAAUAAGCACCGGCUAACUUCGUG
rnacentral:rRNA from 1 species